rnacentral:tRNA from 1 species
CAGUGUAUAGUUUAUUUAAAAUAUAAUAUUUGGGUUAUUAAGAUUUUAUCACUGA